CUUGGCCUUUUGCAGCAGUUGCAGCUUCCAGACCAAACUCAUCGCAGUAAACAAGACUUGAAGUUACCAAUAAAGUAAGACAGUUGAACAAGCUUCCUCAGGAGUUGGUGGGCUCUCUUCACUGGAGGUUUCUGAGCACAGGUUGGAUGGUCAUCUGUCAUGGAUGAUUUAGUUGAGAUUCCUGCAUUGCAGAGCAUUGGACUAGAUAACCCAUGAGGUUCCUUCCAAUUCUAUGAUUCUAUGAAUGCAUGAAUCACUGUGGCCAGGCUACCCCUGUCCAAGAAUGGCUGCAGUUGGUGUACCAGCCAUAGUUGGUAAAGGGCACUCCUAGCCACUGAAACUAUCUCAGCCUCCAGUGACAAAGAUGAUCCAGGACCAACCUUAAACUAUGAACUUGUUCUUUCAAAGGGAGUCCAACCCCAUCCAGAACAGGCAACUUGGCCCAUCACCCAGAUAAGGGAACAUCCAUCAACAGUGCCACCAUUUUUUCCAGGGUUCAAACUCAGUAUAUUGGCCCUCGUCCAGUCCACUACAGCACCCGAAGAAUAAUCCAAAGCAUACAUAGCCUCUCCUGACUCAGACGUUAUUGUGAAAACGAACUCUAGAGGGACAGGGGAAUCACAGAGGGACUUUUUAAUAAGCACAGUGGGCUGCAGCUACAGGGAAACUGAAGGUUCCCCCUCUCUGGACAACUUGAAGUGCUUAUCAUUUGCUCAGUGGGUUUUUUGAUCUUUGCCAAUGUAUAGUAAAACAAAAACAAAAACUGCAGGCUUCUUGCUGCCAUGCUAAGUAGGCACUGACAUCUGGAAUUUUUUUAGGUACAGACAACAAAAUUUAGAGCAAACGUCCCAUCUCUUAUGCUCAGGAACCAUUGCCUACCCUACUGAGAUAAUGAAGAUGGAAACCAGGAAGCAUUUAUGACAGUGAAUUGCCUUAACACAAAUAAUACUUUUUAUAAGAACAACAUGAUAAUACUUUGUACGCAUUCUGGGAGCUGGAAAAGUUUUAAAACUGUUGAAAGUGUUCACAUCCUUUCCCUCAGGUAAUCCUCUAUAAUGCUGUAGGAAUUAUUCUUUGUUCUACAGGAAAGGGUAAUGAAGGCUACCUGUCAAAUCCUGCCAUUAUUCUGCUGCACAAUGCAAGCCUUCUCUCAGCUGCCCAGACACCUAUCAACCCUCUGUAUGCACUUCUUCAUACACUGAAUACCAACCUCCAGGAAAAGAAUGAAAGCAGAAC